AACAAGGCGUACCUGCGGACCUGCGGAAGGAUCAUUACAGAGUUGCAAAACUCCCUAAACCAUUGUGAACGUUACCUAAACCGUUGCUUCGGCGGGCGGCCCGGGUCCUUCCCGGCGCCCAUCGGCCCUCGCGGGCGCCCGCCGGAGGUAAACCAAACUAUUGCAUUGUAUGGCCUCUCUGAGUCUUCUGUACUGAAUAAGUCAAAACUUUUAACAACGGAUCUCAGAUCGGAAGAGCAC
rnacentral:misc_RNA from 1 species